GUUCUAAUUCAUGUUGAGCUGCUGAAAUAGAAUACUUGUGAUCAGCUCAUUUAUGAAGGAGAGAGGUUUAGUUGGCUUCAUGAUUCUGGAUGUCUAAGAGCCUAGUGCUAGCAUGUCCUUCCCUUCGUAUGAGGUUGUCUAAGAGCCUAGUGCUAGUAUGUCCUUCCCUUCGUAUGAGGUUGUCUAAGAGCCUAGAGCUAACAUGUCCUUAGCUUCACAUGAGGUCUUUGCGUAGCUUCAACUCACAGCAGACAGAGGAAGAGGAGCAAGUGGAUGUGUGUGGAAGACAAAAGGGGUCCUGACUCCUGUGGCAACAAACCCAGUCCUCAGAGAGUGAGGAGCCAUGCUUGUGAGACCUUACUCAGUUUAGAAAGAAUGACAUUAAACCCACUUGAAGGUCGCACUUUCCAACCCUGCUUCCCUGGCAAAUGCAUUUCUGCAGGAGUUCUGGAUAAACCUCAACUCACUCACAUGAAGUCUGAGAGGCAGCAGGGUGUGAAAUGACAACAUGUGUACAAUUAAAUAUAAUCAUACCCACCCCUCCCCACUCCAACUUCCCCUACACAUACCCCACAACAUAUCCACCUCCCAACUUCAUGCUUUUCUCUUUUAUAACUCACUAAGUCCAAUUACUGUUGCCUAUAUGUGUAUGGCUGCACAGCAUGGGUAUUUGAUCAACAAAAUGUUGAUUGUGAAAUCUAGAGAAAUGACCCUUUUAUCCAGUACAUGAAUGAAACUAAUAAAAGAAAAGAGAGACUCUGUAGAGUAGAAUACAGAAACAUAUUGUUCAAUCUCAACAUUCAAUAUUGAGUUUGGUUAAAUAUUAAUUUAUGCUAUUAAGUGACUGUGUGACUAUUGGAAUUAAAAUGCUGGUGGGUAUUUGAGUUGUUAAGGAAUUAUUCAGAUUUUAUUGUUAUAUUUUUAGGUGUAAUAAUGAUACUGUGAUUAACCUGUUUUUCUUUUUUUUUUUUUUGUGGAGUGGGGCAUUAUCUCAAAAUAUACAUACUAAAACAUU